CCUACGGGGGACAGCAGUAGGGAAUAUUGCUCAAUGGGGGAAACCCUGAAGCAGCAACGCCGCGUGGAGGAUGAAGGUUUUAGGAUUGUAAACUCCUUUUGUUAGAGAAGAUUAUGACGGUAUCUAACGAAUAAGCACCGGCUAACUCCGUGCCAGCAGCCGCUGUAAUACGGAGGGUGCAAGCGUUACUCGGAAUCACUGGGCGUAAAGAGUGCGUAGGCGGGGUAAUAAGUCAGAUGUGAAAUCCUGUAGCUUAAAUACAGAACUGCAUUUGAAACUGUUACUCUGGAGUGUGAGAGAGGUAGGUGGAAUUCUUGGUGUAGGGGUAAAAUGCGUAGAGAUAAAGAGGAAUACUCAUUGCGAAGGCGGCCUGCUGGAACAUUACUGACGCUGAUGCACGAAAGCGUGGGGAGCAAACAGGAUUAGAUACCCUUGUAGUC
rnacentral:rRNA from 1 species